rnacentral:rRNA from 1 species
CAGAGUAUAGUUAAUUUAGUAAAACAUCUCACUUACACCGAGAAGAAACCUGUG